GUGGGGAAUAUUGGACAAUGGGCGAAAGCCUGAUCCAGCCAUGCCGCGUGUGUGAAGAAGGUCUUCGGAUUGUAAAGCACUUUAAGUUGGGAGGAAGGGCAGUAAGUUAAUACCUUGCUGUUUUGACGUUACCGACAGAAUAAGCACCGGCUAACUUCGUGCCAGCAGCCGCGGUAAUACGAAGGGUGCAAGCGUUAAUCGGAAUUACUGGGCGUAAAGCGCGCGUAGGUGGUUUUGUAAGUUGGAGGUGAAAUCCCCGGGCUCAACCUGGGAACUGCCUCCAAAACUGCAUGACUAGAGUACGGUAGAGGGUAGUGGAAUUUCCUGUGUAGCGGUGAAAUGCGUAGAUAUAGGAAGGAACACCAGUGGCGAAGGCGACUACCUGGACUGAUACUGACGCUGAGGCGCGAAAGCGUGGGGAGCAAACAGGAUUAGAAACCCUUGUAGUCC
rnacentral:rRNA from 1 species